UACGUAGGGUGCGAGCGUUAAUCGGAAUUACUGGGCGUAAAGGGUGCGCAGGCGGUUUUGUAAGCCAGAUGUGAAAUCCCCGGGCUCAACCUGGGAACUGCAUUUGUGACUGCAUCGCUGGAGUGCGGCAGAGGGGGAUGGAAUUCCGCGUGUAGCAGUGAAAUGCGUAGAUAUGCGGAGGAACACCGAUGGCGAAGGCAAUCCCCUGGGCCCUGCACUGACGCUCAUGCACGAAAGCGUGGGGAGCAAACAGG
rnacentral:rRNA from 1 species